rnacentral:rRNA from 1 species
UACGUAGGGUGCAAGCGUUGUCCGGAAUUAUUGGGCGUAAAGAGCUUGUAGGCGGUUUGUCGCGUCUGCUGUGAAAUUUCGGGGCUCAACCCCGAACUUGCAGUGGGUACGGGCAGACUAGAGUGUGGUAGGGGAGACUGGAAUUCCUGGUGUAGCGGUGAAAUGCGCAGAUAUCAGGAGGAACACCGGUGGCGAAGGCGGUGGUCUGGGCCGGCACUGACGCUGAGGAGCGAAAGCGUGGGGAGCGAACAGG